rnacentral:lncRNA from 1 species
UGCCUGGUUCCCCUUUUUAUUUUGUGAAUUUGGAAUAUCCCACUUAUAGGUUUUGCUCCUCAGAGUAUGAGUUCCUGUUAGUGUCUUUUUCAUGAGGAAAGAUGUGUGUUAGCAAACACCAGUCUAGAGGGCUAAGUUUAAUUGUCUGGUUUUAUCUUGGAGUCUUCUCUAACCCUUCCUCCAUCCUUCCUCCAUCCUUCCUCCAUCCUUCCUUCCUUCCUUCCUUCCUUUCUUUCUUUCUUUCUCUAAACCAAUAUAGCCACUGCUGCAAAUACUGUUUGAAAGUGUAUUUCACAGCUCGCUGGGUUUUUCUGUUUUCCACUUUCAAACAUAUGUAGCUCGAUUAAAAUUUCUGCUGAUCAGGAUGGCUAGUGGAGGCAAGUUGCUGCUGCAGAAUCUGCAGUCCCGUGGGAUUAGAGCAGAAAGCAUGCACCAAAGUCUCUCCAUGUAAGAAGUUAAAGAAUAAGGCUUUAACUGCCACAAUAGUUGCAUCUGACACUGAACUGCAUUCCCCGCCCAAAUACCCAACCUGAUUAUAGGAAGAGGCUUUUAUAAAUGUAUCUGUGUAGUUUUUAUGUUACUUUUAAAUGUUAUUAUUUGUUUUGAACAUUAUUUUCUUUUUAUUUUGAGUUCCAGAUUCUCUCCCUUUCUACCAUCCCUCCCCUUCCCUCUGAGAAGGCAAACAAUAUAUCAUCAAUUAUUUUUAAAAAAUUUACAACUUGAUAAAAUUUUAAAUCAUUGUUUUCUACCAUAUCAAUUAUAUAUGUGAAAUCAUGCAAAACAUAUUUCCAUAUUAGUCACAUUGGAAAAAAAGAAGAAAGGAAGAAAGGAAGAAAGGAAGAAAGGAAGAAAGGAAGAAAGGAAGAAAGAAAGAAAGAAAGAAAGAAAGAAAGAAAGAAAGAAAGAAAGAAAGAAAGAAAGAAAGAAAGAAAGAAAGAAAGAAAGAAAGAAAGAAAGAAAGAAAAAGGAAGGAAGGAAGGAAGGAAGGAAGGAAGGAAGGAAGGAAGGAAGGAAGGAAGGAAGGAAGGAAGGAAGGAAGGAAGGAAUUAUGCUUCAGUUUGCACCCAUGUUCUUCAGUUCUCUCUCUGGAAGUAGAUAGCAUU